GAGUCGCGUUGCGUAUGACUUCAAUCAUAUUUUGUACAUAUAGUGUAGUGGUAUUGAGAGAGGACUGCAGAACAAUGAGGCAAGGUCACAGAACAAUAAAACAUUGAAAUUGCUCAAGUGUUGAGAACAUUUUAAACAAUUAAACACAAUGAAUUUUAGGUAUUCUAUUGUUUGAUUCGGGAGACAUAUUACAGAAAGAUGCAUAUACUACCAUCUUAUUUUGGGCGAUUUAUUUACAUGAAGAGUAAAAUAAAAUAUUUAAUUCUUGCAUGUAUAAUAAUCUUUGUGGUUGACUACUUUGGAUUACUCCUGCAUCUUCUUGAAAUUGAUUAUAGUAGGUUCACAUAUCCAUUAGAUAUUUCUAUGGAGGAAACAUUAGCAGAAAUAAGAAGAAAUAACAAAUUUUUGUAUCAUCCUAUUAAUGAGUAUAAUUAUAACUAUAAAAUAAAGAAUGAGCAAAAGUGUUUACAAUUGAAACAUGAUAAAUAUGAUGAUGUGCUUAUAUUAUAUAUUAUUAAAUCAGCUUUACUUAACCAGAGGCGAAGAGAUGGAAUUCGCAAAACAUGGGGCUGGGAAAACAGAUUUUCUGAUGUUACCAUUCGCAGAAUAUUUAUGCUUGGUGUGUCUGAGGAUAAAGUUAUUCAAGAUGAAAUUGAUGAAGAGUAUGUAAGGUUUAAAGAUAUUCAGGCUGAUUUUCUUGAUACAUAUUACAACAAUACAAUAAAAACGAUGCUAGCAUUCAAAUGGGUCAUUCAUAAUUGCCCUAGAGCGCAGUUUAUUGUAUUUGCUGAUGAUGAUAUGUAUAUUUCAACAAAAAAUUUGCUGAAAUUCAUACGUAAUCCUUUUAAUAAGCGUGUAGGCUUCAGGCGUAGGCGUAAUGUGUUGGAUAAAUUUCUUCAAAAUAUGACACAGUCUGAUAGGCUGAUAACUCUUGACUUACUUCAUAGAAGUCGUAAUAUAAAUAAAAAUUUUACUUUUCGAAAAAUGUUUGAACUUGAUCCUGUAUUAAGUGCAUUUGAUGGAAGGCUUUUUGCUGGAUAUGUGUUUUCAUCAUCACCUAUGAGACAUAAAUCAAGCAAAUGGUUUGUAACAUUAGCAGAAUAUCCAUAUUCAAAGUACCCUCCAUAUGUGACAGCUGGCACGUAUGUAUUAUCUUAUCCUGCAUUAGAAGAUAUGUAUUAUACUAGUCUUUUUACAAAGCACUUCAAGUUUGAUGAUGUUUACCUUGGCAUAAUAGCAAAGAAAUGCAAUAUAGUUCCUCUUCAUAAUGAGCAUUUUUAUUUUUGGAGAAAACCAUACAGUAAAAAUGCAUAUGCAAAUGUAGUAGCAUCACAUGGAUUUUCAGACCCAGAAGAACUGAAACAGAUUUGGGAAGAACAGAGAAGUUUAGGUCAUGCUUGAAUGUUUAAUUAACAUCUUUCAAUGCUCGUAUAUUUCGUAAAAUAUUUAUCAUGUUAAAGAAGUAAUAAAUGCAUCAUAGUUUUAAAAUUAAGCAUGUUCCUAAACUAGAGGAGAGAGCCUUCUAAAAGCAGCUUUUUGGUCUUUCAUCUUUAUUGAUGAUGAUUGUGGUAUCUUAUUUUAUGAUAGGCUGAGGGAGUUUUUCCCAUCAUUUUCUGAAAUUUUUUACCGACUUAUGAUAAACGUUGACAGUUUGGGAAUCUUUCUAAGAAAAAGGCUCGAAAAUCUCCAACUUGCAUCUGAUAAGUAACUUUUACCUUUUCUUCUGUAAAAAAUAACAUAAUGCACUUAUGUAGUUGUAUGAAUAGGUAAGUACCAAACAUUUUUGUAAUUCAAAGUAUAUAACUAGAGUCAACAGUUACGAAAAUUAAGGCUGGGUAAGGACAUUUGUAGAUGCAGUGUAUGUCCUUGAAUAUUACAUAACUUUAUAAUCUAUCAAUGUUUUAUGCAUUACAUAAAGCCAUUAUAUUAGUACUUUAAUAGCCAUAAUAUUGUAUGGAUUUGUGAUAACCUGAGUUGGUUAGGGAUUUUGCAAAGGAAGUAUCUUAACUUUUAUGAAAUGUUAUGUUUUCCUGUAUUGAAUCAUGUACCCUUCAUUCAUUCUGUAAAAUUAUGAUAAGAGAGCAUUAGAAUUAUGAAAGUAAAUAUAAUAAUUGUGGAAUUAUGAAUGAAUCACAAAGUAACAGCUUUGGAUACUGCUUAUCUUUUCAUCUCUGUAAAAUAAAACUAUUUUAAAAUACAUUAAUUUAUUUAAGGAAUUUGUUCAUUAGUUCUAUCUGGUGUUAUGUGCUUAUAUUUUUAUACUACAUGAUGCAAAUUAUCUGGACACCCCUAGGAAGUAAGAGAUUUAACCAUUGACAUGGCACUGUAUGCUCAAGUAGAUAUAAAAAGAGGUAGUAAUGUUCAGACACAUCAUAGCAAAUUUUAAAACCCGAUAUGGGUGAGAAACAUAGCUUCAGAGAGUUGAAAUAAUCAGCUGCUUUUGUUAUGGAAAAUGCGUUUGUGAAAUUUUGAUAGUGUUAAAGAUGACAUAUUCAGCUUUGCAUGCUCUUACUACAAAUUAAAAAGCUUCAGAAGUUACAUCUGUUCAAUCAAGACAAAGUCAAACACAUAGUUUGACUGAUAAAAGCCUUAGCUUUGUAGAGAAGUGAAAUAAAACUGCAUGGAAUCAGCUAAAGACAUUCUACAAAUGCUGAUGGUUGUAAUAUCAAUAAAAUGGCAAUUCCUAGAAAGCUACAGAAUUGAAGCUUUCAUAAGAGAAUAGCUGCACAUAAACAGUGCAGCUAAUGGCAGGUAUCAUAUAGCUUGGUGUAUAGCUGGAUUAACUAUUAAACAAAAUAAGCAUAUGCUUAGGGUGUCAAGAGAAAGAGGGCACAGCAGAAAUUUCUCAUUGUUAUUUUAUUAGGAAAUAUAUGAUGUAAAACAGUUAAUACUGCAGCUAAACUGAGAGGGGAAUAAUAUUUUCGAAGUAAUUCUUUCACUUUCUCCCAAAUUUGUAUUAAUUAGCAAAGAUUGGGUAAAAAGCUUAUGGUAGUACUUUUAGGAAAUUAGGAAGGACUUUAUCCUUUGAAAAAACGGUGAAGUUGUUCCUCUUAGUUUGACUUUCAAAAGUUAAAACUUUUAUGAUUUUGAUCCACAUGCAGUAUUUUCUGUUUUUUGCUAGUCAAUAAGUUGUCAGGUAUAGCUGUUAGAACAAUGUUUCUCCGACCUGUUUUGUCCCAUGCACCGCUUUCACUAUUGCUGGAAGAUCAUCCUUUCUAAAGCUCAAAAAAUACAUUUAUUUAGAUUUAGAUUAUUUUCUAAUGCCUUUUAUAAAUUAAAUAGAAAAAAGAAUAGAAAAUGUUGAUAAAUACCAAAACUUGAAGUAGUUUUUUUUAUAUUCAUAAACUAAAAAUAAAUACUUACAGCUGAAUUAAAAGGCUGAAUAUAUUCCGCCCCAGUUGAAAAAUUGUCUUAGAACUUGAAAGUAGAACAACAAAGAAGUGAACAACCUUCAGUUUUGAACUGGAAGAAAUAACAACUAAGAAACUGUUGUUGAUUGUAAUAUUUAUUUAUUUAUUCAUUAUUUAGUUGCAAUACUUUUAAAUGACAUAAGAAAUGGCACUAUGCUUGGAUUUGUACUUUUGUGUGGUAAACCAUUUCAUUUAAGCUAUUAAAGGCAGCAAAAAUGCUUUAAAAAUAAUUUUUGAAUUGUAAAAUGAUGAAUUUAAAUGUUAGUGCAUCUAAUGAAAGAAUUUUGUGUCGCCGUUAAUCUAGUAUUUUAGAUUAUUUCAGUUUUUAAAUAAUAAUGAAACAAUAAUGAUUACUGGUAUACAAUAAAAGUUUAGGCUCAAGAAG
rnacentral:misc_RNA from 1 species